CAAGGAAUCCAGGGCUACUCGGGAUUAAGUGACUUGCCCAAGGCCAUGAGGUCACAGUGAUGCAGUCCAGCACUCUUCCUAUGGCACCCCAGUGUCUCUCAAUAUGGCUGUGCUGUCCGCACAGACGGGCUGAUCCCACCACCCUCCCCAGUUUCUAUCCCUGCUUCUAAAACCUGCAACUUGUCCUGUAAGCCAUCUUAGCACCUGCCUCUGGCUUCUAAGCAAACUUCAGGGCUAGGCUGUCCAUCCCAUCAUAGAUCCUUCUGUCAGUUAAAUCCUAAGUCAUUAAACAAGCAUUUUCCCCUGAGCCUAUAUGUGGUUAUAGCAACUUAAGUAAAAAAUACAUUUGUUCAUGGUGGAAAAGUGGUAUAACCAUAAGACAUAUGUAAUUUGUUGGGAAACAGCCUCUCUAUUCUUACUUUCAAAUGUCACAGUGAAUACUUGAAACUAAACUAUGCCGCUGGAAAGCUGGAGUUAAGAAUUUACUUGGAAACCUUAAACAUGGGUAAUUUUGGUUAGUAGCCAUUCUGUGACUUUGCUUAGACAUGACAGGUUAAGGGCUGUAGGGCCCAAGGCAGAGUUGACAGACACAAGCCCUCUCUCACCUCCUCAUCUGCAUAGGAAGGAUAAAUCCCUGUCCUGUAGGCUCCCAAUGGUCCUGCCCACAGGGUAAUUGCAGAGAAGAUAUUCUCUGAUGAGAUCAACCCAUGCAAGGCAGAACUACCAAUAUCUGUACUGCCAGAGAGACUCCCCUUAUUCCACAGUGAAUCUGAGCAGUACUAGACUCUCUCUUUACCUCUGACCAAAUACAGAUUGCAGUUCAAUUUGGAUCUGGAAAAACUGGUGGUGUAGUGGAAAGAACAAGUCUGUGGAGAUCCUGAGUUUCAACCCUGGUUAAUAAAUUCUACUAAACAUAUUUGGUUAGUGAUCUCGGGCAAAUUACUUAACUUCUUUGGGUCUCAGUCUCCACAUUAAUGCUGCUGCAGCGAGGGGCGAUGAUUCUGAAGCUUCAUAUCUUCAGAACGGUAGAUGCUAAGCACUGAAUGGUGCCUUUCAUGAACAUGGCUUUACCUUGGCUUCAAAACAACCCUAUGAGUCCCCAGGUGUGGUUUCGAGAAGAGGCUUCAGGAAGGGAAAGCUGACCAGGGAGAUGGUUUCUGAAAGGAUGUGUCUUUCUGGACCAGAGGAAACAAGCCACAAGCUGGGUGGAAGACAAGCCAUACGCCUGCUGUAGAAAUAUUCCUGCUCCAUGUUUCCUUUUUGCCCUCUGGACUGAGUCCUUUUGACGAAAGAACACUCAGAACCUGCUGAGCUUUGGGCUGGCACUGGGAUUCACUCACUCUCAGACAAAGCCUCGGAUGCACAGCAGUGGUUCCGGUUGGGUCUUCACCUCCUCUCCUCUGGAACAGCGUGUGCAUCAAAACAGGGAAAUCACCUGUGGGAUUCCCAUAUGUAAAACACACCUCAAAUUGGAGCCACCUGCGUGAAGGAGGUUUCAUGAACACCGAAAACACCAGCCUUUGGCUUUUCCUCAGUGAGAGCCCACAGCGCCUCCUUGUGGACUAUCUGAUAAACUGGAACCAGUUCUCGCAGGGCUGAAGGACGGUGGUCACCUAGAGGCAUUGCCCAGGAUCUGCACUGCGCUGUCCACCCAGGAAUUACUCUGUUUUCUUCUACUUUUAAAUAAAUUUGGGAGAUGGGCUGGGUGUGGUGGCUCACACCUGUAAUUUCAGCGUUUUGGAAGACCGAGGCGGGAGGACGGCGUGGGACCAGGAGUUCAUGACUGGCCUGGGCAACACAGUGAGACCCUGUCUCUAUUUUAAACAACGACAACAACAUAUUUAAAAAAUAAAAAUAAGAAAAUAAAUUUGGAAGAUGAACACAUUCUAUUUUAAUUCUGUUAGUGAUCAGUAAAACUGGCUUAAAAGCUGAGUUUCCUUUGGUUCCCUUUUGUUUUAUAAAAAAUGUCUGUGUGUACCUUUGUCAACAGCCUGAAUCCUAUGAAUCACAGGUUCCCCUGGGGAAGAUGGGGGUUUGAGUUUGGUUUCUUACUUGUGUUUAUAGGGUUCUGGGCAACUUGGGAGGGCGAGACACUAUGCCCUCAUGGGAUAACACUAAUU
rnacentral:lncRNA from 1 species